rnacentral:rRNA from 1 species
UGCCAGACUCCUACGGGAGGCAGCGGUGGGGAAUAUUGCACAAUGGGCGAAAGCCUGAUGCAGCGACGCCGCGUGAGUGAAGAAGUAUUUCGGUAUGUAAAGCUCUAUCAGCAGGGAAGAAAAUGACGGUACCUGACUAAGAAGCCCCGGCUAGCUACGUGCCAGCAGCCGCGGUAAUACGUAGGGGGCAAGCGUUAUCCGGAUUUACUGGGUGUAAAGGGAGCGUAGACGGUUAUGUAAGUCUGGAGUGAAAGCCCGGGGCCCAACCCCGGGACUGCUUUGGAAACUGGGUAACUGGAGUACAGGAGGGGCAGGCGGAAUUCCUGGUGUAGCGGUGAAAUGCGUAGAUAUCAGGAGGAACACCGGCGGCGAAGGCGGCCUGCUGGACUGAAACUGACGUUGAGGCUCGAAAGCGUGGGGAGCAAACAGGAUUAGAUACCCCCGUAA